AAUAUUGGACAAUGGGCGAAACCCUGAUCCUGCCAUCCCGCGUGUAUGAUGAAGGCGUUCGGGUUGUAAAGUACUUUUGGCAGAGAAGAAAAGAUAUCUCCUAAUACGAGAUACUGCUGACGGUAUCUGCAGAAUAAGCACCGGCUAACUACGUGCCAGCAGCCGCGGUAAUACGUAGGGUGCAAGAGUUAAUCGGAAUUACUGGGCGUAAAGCGUGUGUAGGAGGAUCAGAAAGAAAGAUGUGGAAUCCCAGGGCUCAACCUUGGAACUGCAUUUUUAACUGCCGAGCUAGAGUAUGUCAGAGGGGGGUAGAAUUCCACGGGUAACAGUGAAAUGCGUAGAUAUGUGGAGGAAUAUCGAUGGCGAAGGCAGCCCCCUGGGAUAAUACUGACGCUCAGACACGAAAGCGUGGGGAGCAAACAG
rnacentral:rRNA from 1 species